UACGUAGGGUGCAAGCGUUAAUCGGAAUUACUGGGCGUAAAGCGUGCGCAGGCGGUUCUAUAAGACAGCUGUGAAGUCCCCGGGCUCAACCUGGGAACUGCAUUUGUGACUGUAGAGCUGGAGUACGGCAGAGGGGGAUGGAAUUCCGCGUGUAGCAGUGAAAUGCGUAGAUAUGCGGAGGAACACCGAUGGCGAAGGCAAUCCCCUGGGCCUGUACUGACGCUCAUGCACGAAAGCGUGGGGAGCAAACAGG
rnacentral:rRNA from 1 species